CCCAUAGUGUAAUAUUCAUGAACCCAUUUCACCCAUAAAACAUCCUUCUUAUUGGCCAAAUUCCAAAGAAGUUUACAAAUUGCAGCUUGAUUCCAAACUUUCAAAUCAAUUACAUUCCACCCACCAGCUGUCUUAGGAAGACAUAUAUGCUCCCAAGCAAUAAGUGCUCUUUUGGAAGUGCCAGAUUUUCCAGUCCAAAGAAAAGAGAGGAAAGCAGCAUUUUUCCUAAGUUGUAUAAGGCAUCUGUUAAGAUAUUCCAUAAGAGAUAGGGUCGCCUUCUCUAAGACCCUUCUUGGCAGCAAAAGGUCUAGUCAAAUCUCCAUUAAAAUUGAAUGUAUAUGAGGCAGUAGUAAGACAAAC
rnacentral:lncRNA from 1 species